UACGUAGGGGGCAAGCGUUGUUCGGAAUCAUUGGGCGUAAAGCGCGCGUAGGUGGCCCCGUAAGUCCGCUGUGAAAGUCAAAGGCUCAACCUUUGAAAGCCGGUGGAUACUGUGGGACUAGAGUACGGAAGAGGCGAGUGGAAUUCCUGGUGUAGCGGUGGAAUGCGCAGAUAUCAGGAGGAACACCGACGGCGCAGGCAGCGUCCUGGCCGCUUGCUGACACUGAGGCACGAAAGCUGGGGGAGCAAACAGG
rnacentral:rRNA from 1 species